GGAAGGUGCGGGCAGGCUCAGACAAACUGGGCAGCUUCCCAUCCCUGGCUGUGGCCAAGAUCAUCAUCAUUGAAUUCAACCCCAUGUACCCCAAAGACAAUGACAUCGCCCUCAUGAAGCUGCAGUUCCCACUCACUUUCUCAGCCUAUCUCAACUGGAUCUACAAUGUCUGGAAGGCUGAGCUGUAAUGCUGCUGCCCCUUUGCAGUGCUGGGAGCCGCUUCCUUCCUGCCCUGCCCACCUGGGGAUCCCCCAAAGUCAGACACAGAGCAAGAGUCCCCUUGGGUACACCCCUCUGCCCACAGCCUCAGCAUUUCUUGGAGCAGCAAAGGGCCUCAAUUCCUAUAAGAGACCCUCGCAGCCCAGAGGCGCCCAGAGGAAGUCAGCAGCCCUAGCUCGGCCACACUUGGUGCUCCCAGCAUCCCAGGGAGAGACACAGCCCACUGAACAAGGUCUCAGGGGUAUUGCUAAGCCAAGAAGGAACUUUCCCACACUACUGAAUGGAAGCAGGCUGUCUUGUAAAAGCCCAGAUCACUGUGGGCUGGAGAGGAGAAGGAAAGGGUCUGCGCCAGCCCUGUCCGUCUUCACCCAUCCCCAAGCCUACUAGAGCAAGAAACCAGUUGUAAUAUAAAAUGCACUGCCCUACUGUUGGUAUGACUACCGUUACCUACUGUUGUCAUUGUUAUUACAGCUAUGGCCACUAUUAUUAAAGAGCUGUGUAACAUC
rnacentral:lncRNA from 1 species